rnacentral:rRNA from 1 species
CCUGCCCGUUGAUUUUUUGAAAGGCCGCGGUAUAUUAACUGUGCAAAGGUAGCAUAAUCAUUAGCUUUUUAAUUGAGGGCUUGUAUGAAGGGUUGAACAAAGAAAAAGCUGUCUUUAUUUUUGAGGUUGAAUUUAACUUUUAAGUGAAAAGGCUUAAAUAAUCUUAAGGGACGAUAAGACCCUAUAAAUCUUUAUAUUAAACAGUUUUAUCAAAAAGUAGUAGUUGUUGAGUUGUAGAUAAAAUAGUGGAUAUUUUAUUGGGGUGAUAAGAAUAUAUAAUUAACUGUUUUUAAUAAAUUACAAAGUUGUUUGAUUAGUUUAAUAGAUCCUUUUUAGAGAGUUAAAGUUUAAGUUACUUUAGGGAUAACAGCGUUAUUUUUCUUGAGAGUUCUUAUCGAAAGAAGAGUUUGCGACCUCGAUGUUGAAUUAAAAUUUCUUUAUGGUGAAGGAGCUAUAAGUAGAAAGUCUGUUCGACUUUU